rnacentral:rRNA from 1 species
UUCUGGUUGAUCCUGCCGGACCUUACUGCUAUCGGGNGUGGGACUAAGACAUGCGAGUCGAGCGUCUCUAGCUAUGUUGAGACGCGGCAUACGGCUCAGUAACACGUGGCUAACCUACCCUCAGGACAGGGACAACCCCGGGAAACUGGGGCUAAUACCCGAUAGGUGAGGAUACCUGGAAUGGUUUCUCACUCAAAGGGCUUUAGAAACAUGCUUCUUCUGUCGCCUGGGGAUGGGGCCGCGACCGAUCAGGUUGUUGGUGAGGUAACGGCUCACCAAGCCUAUAACCGGUACGGGCCGUGAGAGCGGUAGCCCGGAGAUGGGUACUGAGACAAGGACCCAGGCCCUACGGGGCGCAGCAGUCGCGAAAACUCCGCAAUGCACGAAAGUGUGACGGGGCUACCCCGAGUGCCAUCCGCUGAGGAUGGCUUUUCCUUGGUAUAACUAGCCAAGGGAAUAAGGAGAGGGCAAGACUGGUGUCAGCCGCCGCGGUAA